UACGAAGGGGGCUAGCGUUGCUCGGAAUCACUGGGCGUAAAGGGUGCGUAGGCGGGUUUUUAAGUCAGGGGUGAAAUCCUGGAGCUCAACUCCAGAACUGCCUUUGAUACUGAAGAUCUUGAGUUCGGGAGAGGUGAGUGGAACUGCGAGUGUAGAGGUGAAAUUCGUAGAUAUUCGCAAGAACACCAGUGGUGAAGGCGGCUCACUGGCCCGAUACUGACGCUGAGGCACGAAAGCGUGGGGAGCAAACAGG
rnacentral:rRNA from 1 species